GACGAACGCUGGCGGCGUGCUUAACACAUGCAAGUCGAGCGGUAAGGCCCUUUCGGGGGUACGACGAGCGGCGAACGGGUGAGUAACACGUGGGUGACCUGCCCUCAGCUCUGGGAUAAGCCUGGGAAACCGGGUCUAAUACCGGAUAUGACUCCAUGACGCAUGUUGUGGGGUGGAAAGCCUUGUGCGGCUGAGGAUGGGCCCGCGGCCUAUCAGCUUGUUGGUGGGGUGAGGCCUACCAAGGCGACGACGGGUAGCCGGCCUGAGAGGGCGACCGGCCACACUGGGACUGAGACACGGCCCAGACUCCUACGGGAGGCAGCAGGUGGGGAAUCUUGCGCAAUGGGCGAAAGCCUGACGCAGCGACGCCGCGUGAGGGAUGACGGCCUC
rnacentral:rRNA from 1 species